CAAAGAGUAGUUUAACUUAGAAUUCUAGCUUUGGGGGCUAGAGAUAGGGGUUAAAAUCCCUUCUCUUUGA
rnacentral:tRNA from 1 species